CACGUCAGAUCAUCACUAUACUUAAAAGAAUGCCACAAUACCUUCAAAACGAUAUCGUGUAGAAUUUAUUUGACAAGGUGAUGGCCAUGUUUUAUGAACUAGUACCUAAAUAUCAAAAUGAAAUCAGUCUCAUCAUAUGUUGACUAACAGUUGAACUUAUUCACAGAACCAUACGACUCUGAAGCAGUGCAUACGCACCAUCGCCCGUGUCCACUUUCUUGAUAGGCACCAGGUUGGUUCCGAAGAACGCAACCGACACACCUGCAGCUAUGAACCCUAGGAGAAAGUUUAUCCACCCAAGAGUAGUCCUCAUGUUCUGACGAAGGAAGUCUUUCACUUGGACUGUUAAUGUUGGCCUGGUCAAUCAAAUACACAACAGUAUUUUACAUUCACUACUGCAUGCAGCGGCUCGUUAUCAGCUCCAGGCUUGUCCAUGACGUCACUUUUCACAAAGGAUAAUAUUAUCGUCCUACAAAGACAGGUAAGAAGACAUAAUUACAUCAGCUGUUCUUUC